GUGCUCACUUUGGCAGCAGAUAUGCUAACAUUGGAAUAAUACAGAGAUUAUUAGCAUGGUCCCUGGGAAAGGAUGACACUCAAAUUCGUGAAGUGUUCCAUAUUUUU